UUAAUGAUAACAUGCCUGUUUCUUAGGUAACACUACAUGCGACGGAGCCCUUAUUGACUUUCAAGGUCUUUGUUUUGCCGAUUCGACCACGGAUGAAGUUCCACGCGAACCGAGUGAUGAUCAGAUCAUAGACCUGACCAACGAACACGAGGAGGAAGUGAUAGAACUUUCAGAUCCCUUGUGGGAGGAGGGGUUCAACGGCGACGCAGCAGAGGUCCUACCGCUAUACGAAAACUGUCUUGGGUGUAACGAUUGUGAGCCCGGCUGUAGCACCUCGCAGCAGAACGGUUGGGAUCGGACAUCUUGGGCUGGCGAGCAUAGCGCGAAUGCUGAUGAUGAGGCGGACUGGUCCAGGUCGCAGAUAAACGCUUGGGAUCAAGCUUCCUGGUCCGGCGACAACGGAUUACCAUCGAGUGGUCAACAGACACCGAACAGUAUCCAACCUUCCGUUGACGAAAAUAACGCAUGGGAUCAAGCCUCCUGGUCCAGCUACAACGGAUUACCGGCUAGUGGUCAACAGACACCGAACAGUAUCCAGCCUUCCGUUGACGAAAAUAACGAUGAAAGCUUAGAACAGGUUGAAAAUCCUCAACUGUUUCAUGAAUUUGACAACAGAAUACUGGCUCGAAUUGAAGAGUUUAAUAACCAGCUUCAUAGCAGAUUAGACACUUUCGACCACCAACUACGGGAGUUAGACA